rnacentral:rRNA from 1 species
AUUAACGCCGGCGGUGCGCCUAAUACAUGCAAGUCGUGCGAAAGAACAGUGAUAGCUUGCUAACACUGUUUGAAAGCGGCGAACGAGUGAGUAACACGUUGGAACCUGCCCCCAAUUCAGGGAUAACUUGCUGAAAGGCAAGCUAAUACCUGAUGGUCCCGCAAGGGUAAAGCUACGGCGAUUGAGGAGGGGCCUGCGUUCUAUCAGGUAGUUGGUGAGGUAAUGGCUCACCAAGCCGACGACGGAUAGCUGGUCUGAGAGGAUGAUCAGUCACGAUGGAACUGAGACACGGUCCAUACUCCUACGGGAGGCAGCAGUAAGGAAUUUUCCGCAAUGGACGAAAGUCUGACGGAGCGACACCGCGUGAAGGAUGAAACCCAUCGGGGCGUAAACUUCUUUUCUGGGGGAAGAAACCUAUGGGGUCGAAUAGGCCUCAUGGCUGACGGUACCCCAGGAAUAAGCUCCGGCUAACUCCGU